AGUGAACGCUGGCGGUAGGCCUAACACAUGCAAGUCGAACGGCAGCACAGUAAGAGCUUGCUCUUACGGGUGGCGAGUGGCGGACGGGUGAGGAAUACAUCGGAAUCUACUUUUUCGUGGGGGAUAACGUAGGGAAACUUACGCUAAUACCGCAUACGACCUACGGGUGAAAGCAGGGGAUCUUCGGACCUUGCGCGAUUGAAUGAGCCGAUGUCGGAUUAGCUAGUUGGCGGGGUAAAGGCCCACCAAGGCGACGAUCCGUAGCUGGUCUGAGAGGAUGAUCAGCCACACUGGAACGGAGACACGGUCCAGACUCCUACGGGAGGCAGCAGUGGGGAAUAUUGGACAAUAGGCGCAAGCCUGAUCCAGCCAUACCGCGUGGGUGAAGAAGGCCUUCGGGUUGUAAAGCCCUUUUGUUGGGAAAGAAAAGCAGCAGGUUAAUACCCCGCUGUUCUGACGGUACCCAAAGAAUAAGCACCGGCUAACUUCGUG
rnacentral:rRNA from 1 species